AGUGAACGCUGGCGGUAGGCCUAACACAUGCAAGUCGAACGGCAGCACAGUAAGAGCUUGCUCUUACGGGUGGCGAGUGGCGGACGGGUGAGGAAUACAUCGGAAUCUACUUUUUCGUGGGGGAUAACGUAGGGAAACUUACGCUAAUACCGCAUACGACCUACGGGUGAAAGCAGGGGAUCUUCGGACCUUGCGCGAUUGAAUGAGCCGAUGUCGGAUUAGCUAGUUGGCGGGGUAAAGGCCCACCAAGGCGACGAUCCGUAGCUGGUCUGAGAGGAUGAUCAGCCACACUGGAACUGAGACACGGUCCAGACUCCUACGGGAGGCAGCAGUGGGGAAUAUUGGACAAUGGGCGCAAGCCUGAUCCAGCCAUACCGCGUGGGUGAAGAAGGCCUUCGGGUUGUAAAGCCCUUUUGUUGGGAAAGAAAAGCAGCAGGUUAAUACGCCGCUGUUCUGACGGUACCAAAAGAAUAAGCACCGGCUAACUUCGUG
rnacentral:rRNA from 1 species